UACGUAGGGUGCAAGCGUUAUCCGGAAUCACUGGGCGUAAAGCGUGCGUAGGUGGCGCAUUAAGUGAGAUGUUAAAUCGUGUGGCUCAACCAUAUCGAUGCGUCUCAUACUGGUGUGCUAGAGUACGGAAGAGGCGAGUGGAAUUCCUGGUGUAGCGGUGGAAUGCGCAGAUAUCAGGAGGAACACCAAUAGCGAAGGCAGCUCGCUGGGACGUUACUGACACUGAGGCGCGAAAGCGUGGGGAGCGAACAGG
rnacentral:rRNA from 1 species